rnacentral:lncRNA from 1 species
UAAACCCAAAAAUGGUGGCUGGAGAGACGGAGGAGGAGGAUCGUGGAUUGUAGAUGGAAAAUGGUGGCCGGAGGUUGGAGUGUUGGACUGUUUUGGAGCGGAUCUGGCAAUUGGGAUCGGAGAUCGUAGUUGUUACGAUGGUUGGGUUGUUUUAUCUUUGAAGGUGGGUCGUUCUCUCCUUCUACUUCAACCUCUGUCAUUAUUACCCAAAGGUACAAAUUUCAUUCCUUUUGAAUUUUCCCUAAACCAUUCUCAGUACACUGUUUCUUAGCCCAUCCGUUCCAUUUUCUCUCUCGCAAAUUUGCCAAAGUUAUCAACACCAAAAUUUUCCCAAUUUUGGCUAAAAGUUAUUAAAUUCAUUAAAGAGAUGAAGUCAUGAGCUGAUUAGGAGGGAAAAUUAAAGAUAAUGAGAGCAAAAAAAGAAGUGAUAUUUA